rnacentral:lncRNA from 1 species
GGGAUAUGUAGUCUUGUGAUGUAAUUGAGUUGAAUGAUUUGUUGUUUGGUUGUCAUACUUGAAAAGUGAAGUCUGAAAGAUCUGUUUUUGAUCUUGUUUUUCUAAUCGAUAAUUCUACAUGCAUCUCAUAUCUGAUGAUUGAAACAACGGAUGCCAUUCCCUGAUAUGACAAUGAUUUUUUGUUGUGCCAGGUGAACACAGAACAUGUAAUGAUCAAAUGCGCUAUUGGAAUCAUGGCAUUCUUGCAAGGUUAAUAGUAUCUGAUAUUUACGUGGCUGUGAAAUCAUUUCAUUUCUGGGAUGUUCACUUCUCAAAAGUGCAUGCCUUUUUUAGUUUCUUCCUCUACGGUGUUCUUUUUUAGCUUGUAGGCUUGGUCAUUGUUAUUAUUUGCUUAUCUUUCAUCCUACAUUGCGAAUUCUGAAUACUAAUGAACACUGACUUUUACUGAUGAGAACUUGAUACCUGAAUGUGUCGAUCCUUCCAUAUUAUACAUUUAGAUAGUAGAUGAUGAAUAGUUUGUUAUGAAGCAUGUGUAACUUAUACUUCCAUUGCUUUCACGUUCAAUUAUUAGGAAGCUGAUUUUGUUCAAUGUUUUAUGGAGUAAAUGAGCUAAUUUCAUGAUGUCUCACCUAAUGAGGUUUGGUCUCUUAGCGACGUGCAUGAGGAGUUUCAUAGAUUUCACUUUAGUAUUUUGAGGGUUAUAGUAUCCUUUGCAUGAUUAGAUUCAGUUUUCCAUCUUUUCUAUUGUUGAUGAGCAUGUCUAUUAGGCAUGCAUAUUUAUUAUCUCAGCUACUGAACUGUUUUUUGACUAUAUAUCUAUAUGGUUGGACGAUUAUUUAUUUACCUGUUUAUUCUUUUAGUUUCAGAACCCUCUCCUAAUUCCUUGAUGGGUGUUGGUGUAUGGAAGCAGAUUCGUCUUCCUGCAUAUAACAGGCACAGUGCUUUUAUGUUCAAUCUUCUACAAUUUUAUAGUGCUAUUUCUUCUUUUAUGCUUCAAUUGAUUGUUCCAUUUUUUGCUUGUAAUGUCUUCUUCCUUGUUUUGUGCUUAUAUUGGGAAGAAAAAUGCGCUAGUGAUGGAUCAAGACACUUUCAUGCCCUGAUACUGUUUAUGAAUGUUAAGUGAAAAGUGAAAUUUAGAGAAUGUCAUCUGAAUCUGACGUGAGAAACCAGAUAGUUUUAUCCACUUAAAUAAGAUAGGAGUGGGUAAGAACAAAAUUUGAAGGUUCAGGAGUUUUGCAUAAGAGCUAAGAUUCAUAUCGUCCAAUGAUAAACUCUCCUUCAUAUGUUUAAGUGGAUUUGUAGAAGUCUUAGGCCCCUUCAACGUGUGAAGAACUUCUCUUUCUUUUUCCCGGCCCGCGACUGUUAUUCACAUUCUUUCCCUUGCUAUACUACAGUAAUGAGAAACCAGAUAGGUUUAUCCUCUUAAAUAAGAUAGGAGUGGGGAAGUACAAAAUUUGAAGGUUCAGGAGUCCUGCGUAAGAGCUAAGAUUCACAUCGUUCAAUGAUAAAUUCUCCUUCACACGUUUAAGUGGAUUUGUAGAAUUCUUAGGCCCCUUCCAACGUGUGAAGACCUUCUCUUCCUUUUUCCCGGCCCGCUACUGUUAUUCACAAUCUUUCCCUCGCUAAUACUACAGUAGCAAUUAUGAUUUCAUGUAUCAAGUUAUGCUCUUGCUUUUAGCAUUUUAAACUUCUGUAGGACUUUCAGUUGCCGGUAAGAACUUUAUAUUUUAAGAGAUGAUGCAUUCACGAGGAGCUUUAUUAUCCACUAUCAUCUUCUCUUUUCAAUUUUUUUAAUGUUUUCUUUACCUCCUAUAGUUGUUUAAUUUAUGAAUUCCUCUCUUCUUGACAUGUGGAACUCUAUUAUGUCUGGUAAAACUGUUUUCUUCUGUCCACCGUUAAUCUACUAUGCCUUGUGGUAUUUCUUAUGCAUGCCGAACUGUCUGAUAAGUGGCUUUUCUAUGAACUGGACAUUUUAGAAGCGUGUCAUAUAGAUUCACAAAGCUUAAACAAAUGUUUGAAAUAUCCAUUAUGGGGAUUUGGAGGAGAAAGUAAAGAUGUGCAUGGACAUAAUCGUGUGGAGUGCUUGAAGAAUCCUUGAAAUGCACUUGUCAAAAAUAGAAAAAAGAAAUAAAGAAUCCUUAAAAUGUAAUCCUGCCAAAUUGUGAUGUCGUGAUAUAUAAAGAAUGCUUUAAUAUGCAUUGAAUGUGGUGGACUAUUAACUCCAGCUCUGUUCUUAACUUUGACGCAUAAGAUUGAGUACAGAAAUAUAACUAAAAGAUUUGCCUCAGAGAUAGUAAUGAAGCUAAGACUUUCAACUUUUCGUCUCAAAGCAUUAUAUCACAGAACUGAUAUCUCUACUUCCUAAGCGAACUAUAUAUUAGGUUGAUGAAGGUUUUGUUUCAGCAAACAGUUGAAUCAUGUGUAUAGGAGUGAAUCUUUUAUGCUUCCUUCUUUCGUAAGUGACCAUUUCAUAUAUACCGCUUAAGCCAUGUAAAAGUUGAGCAUAUUAGUAGAUCUAAUAGUGAGUGGUUUUCUAUUGGAAAAAAUAUACUCCCAAUUCUGUUAUUAUUCUGAAACAUAAUAAUAGUAUGUACUACUCUAGAUACUAUUCAUAGUCAAUUUGACAUAUUCUUUGGGUUUUCUUUGUUCAUCAACAGAAACUGUGGUUGUGAAUAAUUACCGUGAUGAUUUUGCAAAAAAAAUGGUGAUUGAUCUUGGAUUUGAUUUAGGCUUAUUCUCUGGAAGUUUUACUGUUUGAAGCGUAAUAAUUUAACCAGUUUCCUUUUAGGAUCCUUUUUGUAAUGAUAUAGCAGAAUACUUACGAUAGUUCUUGGUGAUAGAUAGGCACUGUCAAUAAUUUGAUAUCAAUUAACUCGGAGAACGAAAAUCAGUGUUACAUGUCUCUGGUUUAAUCUCUAUAAGCAGUUUUAUUUUUACCACUUAAGUUUAGUAUUUAACCAGUUUCGCCUACAUUACAUAGGAUUAAUAUCUUUUAGCUUUC